GUGCACCAGGCGAGAAACCUUUACCAUGCACGAAAGUGUGAUAAGGUUACCCGGAGUGCCCAGAGAAAAACUGUGGGGCUGUUUAUAGGUGUGGUAGAUAACCCUAUGAGAAAGGAGAGGGCAAGGCUGGUGCCAGCCGCCGCGGUAAAACCAGCUCUUUCAAGUGGUCGGGACUUUUAUUGGGCUUAAAGUGUCCGUAGCCUGUUUGGUAAGUUCCUGGUUAAAUAUGGGCAGCUUAACUGUCACGUUGGCGUAGGAAUACUGCCUUACUAGGAGGGGUGGGAAAGGUUUGGGGUACUCCGAGGGGUAGCGGUGAAAUGCGAUAAUCCGUU
rnacentral:rRNA from 1 species